rnacentral:rRNA from 1 species
GACGAACGCUGGCGGCGUGCUUAACACAUGCAAGUCGAACGGAAAGGCCCUGCUUUUGUGGGGUGCUCGAGUGGCGAACGGGUGAGUAACACGUGAGUAACCUGCCCUUGACUUUGGGAUAACUUCAGGAAACUGGGGCUAAUACCGGAUAGGAGCUCCUGCUGCAUGGUGGGGGUUGGAAAGUUUCGGCGGUUGGGGAUGGACUCGCAGGUUAUCAGCUUGUUGGUGGGGUAGUGGCUUACCAAGGUUUUGACGGGUAGCCGGCCUGAGAGGGUGGCCGGCCACAUUGGGACUGAGGGACGGACCAGACUCGUACGGGAGGCAGCGGUGGAGAAUAUUGCACAGUGGGGCGAAGCGUGAUGCAGCAACGCCGCGUGCGGGAUGACGGCCUUCGGGUUAUAAACCGCUUUCGCCUGUGACGAAGAGUGAGUGACGGUAAUGGGUAAAGAAGCAACGGCUAACUACGUG